AUGGCUCAGGAUGAACGCUAGCUACAGGCUUAACACAUGCAAGUCGAGGGGCAGCAUUGGGAUAGCUUGCUAUUCAGAUGGCGACCGGCGCACGGGUGAGUAACGCGUAUCCAACCUUCCUGCCAGUAGGGAACAGCCCGGCGAAAGUCGGAUUAAUGCCCUAUGUUCUUCAAUGCGGACAUCUAAGUUGAAGGAAAGAUUCAUCGCUGGCAGAUGGGGAUGCGUCCGAUUAGCUUGCCGGCGGGGUAACGGCCCACCGGGGCGACGAUCGGUAGGGGUUCUGAGAGGAAGGUCCCCCACACUGGUACUGAGACACGGACCAGACUCCUACGGGAGGCAGCAGUGAGGAAUAUUGGUCAAUGGGCGUAAGCCUGAACCAGCCAAGUAGCGUGCAAGGAUGACGGCCCUACGGGUUGUAAACUGCUUUUAUGCGGGGAUAAAGUGCGGCACGUGUGCCGCUUUGCAGGUACCGCAUGAAUAAGGACCGGCUAAUUCCGUGCCAGCCGCUGC
rnacentral:rRNA from 1 species